AUUGAACGCUGGCGGCAGGCCUAACACAUGCAAGUCGAACGAGUGGCGGACGGGUGAGUAAUGUCUGGGAAACUGCAUGAUGGAGGGGGAUAACUACUGGAAACGGUAGCUAAUACCGCAUACCAUCAGAUGUGCCCAGAUGGGAUUAGCUGGUUGGUGGGGUAACGGCUCACAAAGGCGACGAUCCCUAGCUGGUCUGAGAGGAUGACCAGCCGCACGGGAACUGAGAAACGGUCCAGACUCCUACGGGAGGCAGCAGUGGUGAAUAUUGCACAAUGGGCGCAAGCCUGAUGGAGCCAUGCCGCGUGUAUGAAGAAGGCCUUCGGGUUGUAAAGUACUUGCAGCGGGGAGGCGUUACCCGCAGAAGAAGCACCGGCUAACGCCGUGCCAGCCGCCGCGGUAAUUC
rnacentral:rRNA from 1 species